CCUACGGGGGGCAGCAGUGGGGAAUAUUGGACAAUGGGGGGAACCCUGAUCCAGCCAUGCCGCGUGUGUGAAGAAGGCCCUCGGGUUGUAAAGCACUUUCAGUGAGGAAGAACGCCUGGUGGUUAAUACCCAUCAGGAAAGACAUCACUCACAGAAGAAGCACCGGCUAACUCCGUGCCAGCAGCCGCGGUAAUACGGAGGAUGCGAGCGUUAAUCGGAAUUACUGGGCGUAAAGCGCGCGUAGGUGGCUUGAUAAGCCGGUUGUGAAAGCCCCGGGCUCAACCUGGGAACGGCAUCCGGAACUGUCAAGCUAGAGUGCAGGAGAGGAAGGUAGAAUUCCCGGUGUAGCGGUGAAAUGCGUAGAGAUCGGGAGGAAUACCAGUGGCGAAGGCGGCCUUCUGGACUGACACUGACACUGAGGUGCGAAAGCGUGGGUAGCAAACAGGAUUAGAUACCCUAGUAGUC
rnacentral:rRNA from 1 species